rnacentral:rRNA from 1 species
UACGUAGGGGGCAAGCGUUGUCCGGAAUUAUUGGGCGUAAAGAGCUCGUAGGCGGCUUAGUAAGUCGGCGGUGAAAUACCGAGGCUCAACCUCGGCACUGCCGUCGAUACUGCUAUGGCUAGAGUUUGGUAGAGGAGAACGGAAUUCCUGGUGUAGCGGUGAAAUGCGCAGAUAUCAGGAGGAACACCGGUGGCGAAGGCGGCAUCCUGGACCAAUAUUGACGCUGAGGAGCGAAAGCCAGGGGAGCAAACGGG